UGGGGAAUUUUGGACAAUGGGCGCAAGCCUGGUCCAGCCAUGCCGCGUGCAGGAUGAAGGCCUUCGGGUUGUAAACUGCUUUUGUACGGAACGAAAAGACUCCUUCUAAUAAAGGGGGUCCAUGACGGUACCGUAAGAAUAAGCACCGGCUAACUACGUGCCAGCAGCCGCGGUAAUACGUAGGGUGCGGGCGUUAAUCGGAAUUACUGGGCGUAAAGCGUGCGCAGGCGGUUUUGUAAGACAGAGGUGAAAUCCCCGGGCUCAACCUGGGAAUUGCCUUUGUGACUGCAAGGCUUGAGUACGGCAGAGGGGGAUGGAAUUCCGCGUGUAGCAGUGAAAUGCGUAGAUAUGCGGAGGAACACCGAUGGCGAAGGCAAUCCCCUGGGCCUGCACUGACGCUCAUGCACGAAAGCGUGGGGAGCAAACA
rnacentral:rRNA from 1 species